AUUGAACGCUAGCGGGAUGCCUUACACAUGCAAGUCGAACGGCAGCGCGGACUUCGGUCUGGCGGCGAGUGGCGAACGGGUGAGUAAUGUAUCGGAACGUGCCCAGUAGCGGGGGAUAACUACUCGAAAGAGUAGCUAAUACCGCAUACGCCCUACGGGGGAAAGGGGGGGAUCGCAAGACCUCUCACUAUUGGAGCGGCCGAUAUCGGAUUAGCUAGUUGGUGAGGUAAAGGCUCACCAAGGCGACGAUCCGUAGCUGGUUUGAGAGGACGACCAGCGACAAGGGGACUGAGACACGGCCCAGACUCCUACGGGAGGCAGCAGUGGGGAAUUUUGGACAAUGGGGGCAACCCUGAUCCAGCCAUUCCGCGUGUGCGAUGAAGGCCUUCGGGUUGUAAAGCACUUUUGGCAGGAAAGAAAUCGCACGGAUUAAUACUCUGUGAGGAUGACGGUACCUGCAGAAUAAGCACCGGCUAACUACGUGCCAGCCGCCGCGGUAA
rnacentral:rRNA from 1 species